UAGGGAAUCUUCGGCAAUGGGGGGAACCCUGACCGAGCAACGCCGCGUGAGUGAAGAAGGUUUUCGGAUCGUAAAGCUCUGUUGUUAAGGAAGAACGAGUGUGAGAAUGGAAAGUUCAUACUGUGACGGUACUUAACCAGAAAGGGACGGCUAACUACGUGCCAGCAGCCGCGGUAAUACGUAGGUCCCGAGCGUUGUCCGGAUUUAUUGGGCGUAAAGCGAGCGCAGGCGGUUAGAUAAGUCUGAAGUUAAAGGCAGUGGCUCAACCAUUGUAGGCUUUGGAAACUGUUUAACUUGAGUGCAGAAAGGGAGAGUGGAAUUCCAUGUGUAGCGGUGAAAUGCGUAGAUAUAUGGAGGAACACCGGUGGCGAAAGCGGCUCUCUGGUCUGUAACUGACGCUGAGGCUCGAAAGCGUGGGGAGCGAACAGG
rnacentral:rRNA from 1 species